UACGUAGGGGGCAAGCGUUGUCCGGAUUUAUUGGGCGUAAAGAGCGUGUAGGCGGCCAGGUAGGUCUGCUGUGAAAACUCGAGGCUUAACCUCGAGCUGUCGGCGGAAACCAUCUGGCUAGAGUCCGGAAGAGGAGAAUGGAAUUCCCGGUGUAGUGGUGAAAUGCGCAGAUAUCAGGAAGAACACCCGUGGCGAAAGCGGCUCUCUGGGACGGUACUGACGCUGAGACGCGAAAGCGUGGGGAGCGAACAGG
rnacentral:rRNA from 1 species